rnacentral:rRNA from 1 species
CAGUAGCCGCGGGAAUACAGAGGGUGCGAGCGUUAAUCGGAAUUACUGGGCGUAAAGCGUGCGCAGGCGGUUAUAUAAGACAGAUGUGAAAUCCCCGGGCUCAACCUGGGAACUGCAUUUGUGACUGUAUAGCUAGAGUACGGCAGAGGGGGAUGGAAUUCCGCGUGUAGCAGUGAAAUGCGUAGAUAUGCGGAGGAACACCGAUGGCGAAGGCAAUCCCCUGGGCCUGUACUGACGCUCAUGCACGAAAGCGUGGGGAGCAAACAGGAUUAGAUACCCGCGUAGUCCCUGUCUCUUAUAC